GACGAACGCUGGCGGCGUGCUUAACACAUGCAAGUCGAACGGAAAGGCCCUGCUUUUGUGAGGUGCUCGAGUGGCGAACGGGUGAGUAACACGUGAGUAACCUGCCCUUGACUUUGGGAUAACUUCAGGAAACUGGGGCUAAUACCGGAUAGGAGCUCCUGUUGCAUGGUGGGGGUUGGAAAGUUUCGGCGGUUGGGGAUGGACUCGCGGCUUACCAGCUUGUUGGUGGGGUAGUGGCUUACCAAGGCUUUGACGGGUAGCCGGCCUGAGAGGGUGACCAGCCACAUUGGGACUGAGAUACGGCCCAGCCUCCUACGGGAGGCAGCAGUGGGGAAUAUUGCACAAUGGGCGGAAGCCUGAUGCAGCAACGCCGCGUGCGGGAUGACGGCCUUCGGGUUGUAAACCGCUUUCGCCUGUGACGAAGCGUGAGUGACGGUAAUGGGUAAAGAAGCACCGGCUAACUACGUG
rnacentral:rRNA from 1 species